UGUUUAGGAAGAAGAUCCUCCUCAAUCUCUCAUCUGAUGGCUGUGCAGUUGGAAAGCUAGCUCCUUACCAGCUUUUCCUGAAAAUAAACCUGCCUGUCGAGUGUUCUCCCUAGGCUUUGGGAAGAAACCUUGAUAUUACACCUGUGUUAAUAGGAAGCUGUUGAUUGAGAUUUCUGUUACAAAGUCUUCCUGUCAGGAGUAAGUCACUUUAUAAAACGAAAUUGAGAGCUUGUAAUCAUAAAGUGCUGUUUUUCAAUCUUAAACUUUUGACCAAGAAUGAAACUGUUUAAAAAUUAAGAUGCCAACAGGUAACCUCUUGUAAAUUUAUAUGUCAGUGUAUGUCACAUAGCAAUUGAACACUCCCG
rnacentral:lncRNA from 1 species